UUUCUGUCUUUUUUCUACUUCUUGUCUGUUUUUUUUUUUUUCUACUAUUAAGAGUUUGUUCUCAUCAAUCGGGGCUCAGCCUCUCCUCAGAAGAGUAGUACUUUGAAAAAAUACCAUUACACCACUAUUUUUCUUCAAAGUAUUCUGCUGACCAUAAGUUUUUUUUUUUCAGGACUGGCCAUGAGAAAUCUGAUUCCAUGGAACUUAAGCACUUCAACACGGUUAUCUCACUGAUAUCAUUGAAUCCUCGGGGCUGAGUUGCAUCAAACUCGACUGCAAUGAGGUGAUUAGCAUUGCUAUUAUUGGUUUUGUUCAAGAUCCCAAGAUACUAACCUGGAGAGUUGUUUAAUCUGAUAGGAUGCGGAUAGAAAGCAUGGCCUGUCACGAGCUCGAUAUUUCUAAGCUGCCGCAAACGAUCAAUCUGAUCCUUCCUAGAAGGGGGCAAUGCGCAACAAAAGAAAAGAACUAAUUGUAAAGGAACUUUCCUGCUGCAGCCAAUAGUCAGGAAGAACUGGCAGUUGGUUUCUGCCAUUUCAAAAAUGACAUGUAAAAGAAAUUACUUCAAAAUGAUUGUCAGGAGGUCCAAGUAAUUGAGCCUAAACAUUUAAUUUUGAAUGUCUGCUGAUUCUUAUUGAAUGCGCAAUUUUAUACUCAUUUUGCCA
rnacentral:lncRNA from 1 species